rnacentral:rRNA from 1 species
UACGGGGGGAGCAAGCGUUGUUCGGAUUUACUGGGCGUAAAGGGCGCGUAGGCGGCCUACUAAGUCGGACGUGAAAUCCCUCGGCUCAACCGAGGAACUGCGUCCGAUACUGGCAGGCUGGAAUCCGGGAGAGGGAUGUGGAAUUCCAGGUGUAGCGGUGAAAUGCGUAGAUAUCUGGAGGAACACCGGUGGCGAAGGCGGCAUCCUGGACCGGUAUUGACGCUGAGGCGCGAAAGCUAGGGGAGCAAACGGG